CACAGCUGCCUCAGGAACCGCCUUAUUUGCUCCAUUUCUACUUAAACCAAUCUUUCCUUUCAGAUCCAAAGGACACUGGUGCCUACAGAUUGCUGGGUCCCUGGAUUGGGUAUGGUUUGCUUUUGCUGAAUGGACAAACAUGGUUCCAGCACCGGCGAAUGCUAACUCCAGCUUUCCACUAUGACAUCCUGAAGCCCUAUGUGAACACCAUGGCUGACUCUGUCCAAGUGAUGCUGGACAAAUGGGAACAGCUUGCUGCUCAGGACUCCCCUAUAGAGAUCUUUCAACACAUCUCCUUGAUGACCCUGGACACUGUCAUGAAGUGUACCUUCAGCCACCAGGGAAG